CCGAAGACUGGAGGAUAGCCAGUGUCAGUCUGGUCUUCAGAAAGGGCAAGAAGGAGGAUGUGGGAAACUCCAGGCCAGUCAGUCUCAGCUCUGUCCCUAGGAAGGGGAUGGAACAGCCUAUUGUGGCUUCCAUCUCCAAGCAAAUGGAAGAGAAGAAGGAUAUGAGGAGGAGUCAGCAUGGACUCACCAAGAGGUAAUAGUGCUUGAGCAACCUGGUAGCCUUCUAUGAUGGCAUCACAGGCUGGGUGGAUGAGAGGAGAGCAGUGUCCCUGCGCACCGAGGGCCCACGGGCUUUGCAGUAGCAAAGGUCUACUCACACUUUUCUCUGGGUUUACUGUCACUUUACUCAGGGCUUUACUCACAAUUUACUCCGGGGUUCCUAACAAUAUGCUUUAGGUUUUACCAUCAAGGUUACUUUGGGUUUACUCACAAUAUACACCAGGUUUCUGCACUAUUUACUCUGGGCUUACACACCCUUUACUUUGGGUUUACUCACACUUUUCUCUUGCUUUACUCACAUUUUACAUCAGGUUUUACACACAUUCUACACAAGGGUUUACACAUAUUUUACUCCAUGUUUCCUCACAGUUUUCUCCAAGCUUUGUUCACCCUCUUCUCCAGGUUUACUCACUCUUUACUUUAUGGUUACGCAUCCUAACUCUGGGUUUACUCACAAUUUUCUUUGGGUUUAGGCACACCUUACUCUGGGUAUUACUCGCGCUUUACUCUACCUUUACCAACCCUUUAAUCUGGGUUUACUCAGACUGCUGUCCAGGUGUACUCAUACUUUUCUCUGGGUUUACUCACACUUUACUCCGUGUUUCCUAACAAUGUACACCAUUUGUUUUACUCACAACUUUACUUUGUGUUUACUCAGAAAUUACUUCAGCUUUGCUCACUACUUACUCCGGGCUUACACACCCUUUACUUUGGGUCUACUCCCACUUUUCUCUAGUUUUACUCACCCUUUACUCCAGGUUUACUCAACCUUUACUCCGGUUUUACACACACUUUAUUCCAGGUUUACACACAAUUUACUCUGGGUUUAGUCACACCUUACUCCAGGUUUUACUCACAUUUUUCUCUAGUUUUACUCCCCCUUUACUCCAGGUUUACUCAACCUUUACUCAGGUUUUACACACACUUUAUUCCAGGUUUACACACAAUUUACUCUGGGUUUAGUCACACCUUACUCCGGAUUUUACUCACACUUUACCCCGGGUUUUACUCACACUUGUUUACUUGUUGUAGACAAUAAGAUGACCAACCAGAGCCAGCCAAGAGUCUCCAACCUGACCCAUGUCAAAGGAAAAUAAGACCUCAGCCUUCAUCCAA
ensembl:lncRNA